rnacentral:rRNA from 1 species
CAUGCAUGUCGAACGAAGCACUUGUGCUUAGUGGCAAAUGGGUGAGUAACACGUACUUAAUCUACCCCCAAGUUUGGGAUAACAGUUGGAAACAAUUGCUAAUACCAAAUACAUAUAAGUUUUGCAUAAUUCUUAUAUAAAAGGAGCGUUUGUUUCGCUAGGGGAUGAGAGUGCGCUACAUUAGUUAGUUGGUAGGGUAAGAGCCUACCAAGACUAUGAUGUAUAGCGGGGCUGAGAAGCUGAACCGCCACACUGGGACUGAGAUACGGCCCAGACUCCUACGGGAGGCAGCAGUAGGGAAUAUUCCACAAUGAGCGAAAGCUUGAUGGAGCAACACAGCGUGCAGGAAGACGACCUUAGGGUUGUAAACUGCUGUUAUGAGGGAAGAAGAAUAAAAUUAGGAAAUGAAUUUUACAUGACGGUACCUCAUCAGAAAGCACCGGCAAACUAUGUGCCAGCAGCCGCGGUAAUACAUAAGGUGCAAGCGUUAUCCGGAAUUAUUGGGCGUAAAGUGUCUGUAGGUGGUAUGUUAAGUCUAGUGUUA